ensembl:rRNA 5S_rRNA 5S ribosomal RNA
GUCUCCAGCCAUUCUAUCCUGAAUGUGCCAGAUCUCCUCUGAUCUUAGACACUGAGCAGGGCUGGGCCUGGUUAGUGCUUGGAUGGGCAAUAGGAAAGAGUCCAUUAGCUUGGAAACA